rnacentral:rRNA from 1 species
AGAGCGAACGCUGGCGGCAGGCUUAACACAUGCAAGUCGAGCGGGCGUAGCAAUACGUCAGCGGCAGACGGGUGAGUAACGCGUGGGAACGUACCUUUUGGUUCGGAACAACACAGGGAAACUUGUGCUAAUACCGGAUAAGCCCUUACGGGGAAAUAUUUAUCGCCAAAAGAUCGGCCCGCGUCUGAUUAGCUAGUUGGUGAGGUAACGGCUCACCAAGGCGACGAUCAGUAGCUGGUCUGAGAGGAUGAUCAGCCACAUUGGGACUGAGACACGGCCCAAACUCCUACGGGAGGCAGCAGUGGGAAUAUUGGACAAUGGGCGCAAGCCUGAUCCAGCCAUGCCGCGUGAGUGAUGAAGGCCCUAGGGUUGUAAAGCUCUUUUGUGCGGGAAGAUAAUGACGGUACCGCAAGAAUAAGCCCCGGCUAACUUCGCGCCAGCAGCCGC